rnacentral:lncRNA from 1 species
AAAAUCUUGCUCACUGGCAAAAGGAAUUGUGAUUGGGGUAACAGGAGGACAGGAUUCAAAAGGAGUUAAAGUGGCCAGGCAGGCCAAUUAACUCCCCAGGCUGCACCUGGAGAAGGAGCUAGGGAGCAGGGAACUAAUUGGAAGCAGGUUCAGCUGUGCAGGAACAGCGGGGGCCUAUAUAAAGCCCAGAGGUUGUGCACGUUAAAAGGAGGCCUGCUGGGAAAGGCUGCUGGUAGUAGUCACUCUCUGGGAAGAGGGUUUUGGAGCUGGGGGACCAGAUGUGAUAGGAAGCAGCCCAGGAAAGGUGUGAUGAGAGAGGAAAACCCAGAACUGCUGAGCUGAGAGUCCCUGGACUGGAACCUGGAGUAGAAGGCAGGCCUAAGUUCCCCUACCAGCCACUGAGGCAGUGGAAGAGAAGAUGGCCUAGGACUGCUAGGGAGAGGGGACUUUGCUACCCCGGAAGGGGAAAACACUGAGUGACCUGGCUGGAGGACUGAGUCAUGAAGAGGACACUGGUUCCUGGAGUGAGAGAGGGGCUGCAGACCAGAGGAAGAGACAGAAUGAUGGUGUACAAACCGCUUAAGGGGGUGUUGACCUCUAGAGCUAAUCCCCAGAACAACCAGGAGGAGGUGACAAACCAGUGGUGUGCCCUUUCAGAGUAUUUUCCCAAGAAGGUCGACACAAUAGUUAUGCACCACUCAAGUUUCUCCAGGAGACCACCUAUAGAUGGGGGAUGAAAUAGAACAUCAAUGGUUCCAGUGCUGCAUGCUUCAGAUGUACAAAAUCAAGGCCCAAUAACCUCUGUUCCCUGGCUUUUGAAAGAUGAAGUAUUUUUUUUGCCCAUGUGAAAUGGAGGGAGAUUCAUCCAUCAGAAGUUAUUCAAGAAAAGCUAAGUACAAAUCUUAACAGUAUGUUUGGUUUAAAACCCAGGGUUGUAAAUUCAAUUCUUGAGGGGGCCAUUUAGGGAUCUGGGGCAAAAAUCUGUCUGGGAAUUGGUCCUGCUUUGAGCAGGGGGUUGGACUAGAUGACCUCCUGAGGUCCCUUCUAACCCUGAUAUUCUAUGAUUUGCUCUAUGAUUGGGACACUGCAGUCAGUACAGACUCAGAAGUCACCUGCUAGAAGACUUGAAAAUCAGAUUUGACCUACCAAAUAGAUAGCAACCUAGUUGUUUGCAACUUUAAAUAAGCGGGAACAUGAGAUCUCUCACCAUUUGCAAGUUUCCUCCUGUCACUAAUCCUUUUUCAAAAGCAUAGGAUUUUGGUUUUUAUGUAAGGGGGUGUGGGUGGGUGGUUUGUUUUUGUUUUGGUUUGGUUUUUUUACAGAAUGUAUCUUUAUUUGCAAUAACUUCUUGGAACUAUGGUAUGAAAACAUGCAUUUUUCCAUGUCCGUCUUUUAGAGUAGCAGAAACUGAGGUUUUUCCCCCCCACUUACAUUUAAAAAGGUUUCUAUUUCUGAAACUGAAAUGAAACUUCCAUGAUUCUUCCCAUAACAAUUAACAGAGUGGGCCAAAUGUUGCUUCAGAUGCACCUAGGUAGCUCCCAUUUGAAAUAGAUGUGAACUGCUUGUGUGCAGCUGGCACUAGAAUUUGGCCUACAAUUUGCUGCUAAUGAGUUGGCAGAAAACAGUGCAAAAGAGCAAAACAUUCUGGGCUCAGAUGAGAGCAGCUAUUUUUGUUUGUUUUUUAACAUUAGUGGAUUUAAAAAUGUGUUGACAAUCCAAAGCCUUCUCAUUGAUUUU